CGGCUUUGUGCCCCUGUGGGUGCGGACGGGGGAAGGGAGAGCCCCUCUCUCCCUCCCCUGCUCAGACCUGCGGCAGGGUCUGCUCUGCUCCAGGUGAGGAACAGCAGCACGCCGGAGACACGCGACUGGGAUGAGGUUCAUGGGGUCUCUUCCAGCUGGUUUCUCGGAGCUCCUGACUGUAAAGGAGGUGGUCUAGAUCUCUGUACUUAAAAGAAGAAAUGCUGCUGAUGUAUCUCCCAGGAGUGGGUCUGAAAUGUUCAGG
rnacentral:lncRNA from 12 species